rnacentral:rRNA from 1 species
UACAGAGGUCCCGAGCGUUGUUCGGAUUCACUGGGCGUAAAGGGUGCGCAGGUGGGUUGGCAAGUUUGAUGUGAAAGCCCCGGGCUUAACCCGGGAAUGGCAUUGAAUACUGCUGAUCUGGAGGAUUGGAGGGGGGACUGGAAUUCUUGGUGUAGCAGUGAAAUGCGUAGAUAUCAAGAGGAACACCAGUGGCGAAGGCGAGUCCCUGGACAAUUCCUGACACUGAGGCACGAAAGCCAAGGGAGCAAACAGG